GGCCUCCCGGUGCUUAGCACAGGCUGUGUUCUCACGCGGCCUGGACAGAAAGAGGAGGCAGAGCAGGCCCACCCCCUGCACGCCUCAGCCAGGCCCUGUGCCUGGUCUGUAUUGUGAAUGGGGGGACAUGG